GGGGCUGUAAUUGGCUUCGACAGGAAUAUAGGGUAUUUAGCUGCAAGUCGGGUGUCCACGUGAGAGACAAAAAGCAAUAAAUGCUAAAAAUAUUAAAAACGUAUUUGCAGGACUAUUCAGAAGUACUAGUGCUGCUUUAGCCUAAUUAUAAAGGUAAAUACACUUUCUAUUUAUUAUUUUCUACGUAAUUUAUAGAAGGUUCGAUUUUAGUAGAAUAUAUUAUUACUAAUGUCUAUAGGUAAUAAUGAAUUUUAUAGACUUACUAAGUAUUUAGGUUGUUAAUUACUUUUGUACUUAGGACAUAUUCUUAAUUAACUAAACUUGUAGAUGUUACUUAUUACGUAUUUUUGGACAGGGGUUCAACUCCCCUCAGCUCCACCA
rnacentral:tmRNA from 1 species